rnacentral:rRNA from 1 species
UACGAGGGGUGCAAGCGUUGCUCGGAAUUAUUGGGCGUAAAGGGUAGGUAGGUGGUCUCAUUUGUCAGGGGUGAAAGCCUUGGGCUUAACCCAAGAAGUGCCCUUGAAACUGUGAGACUAGAGUCUUGGAGAGGGUCGUGGAAUUCCCAGUGUAGCGGUGAAAUGCGUAGAGAUUGGGAGGAACACCAGAGGCGAAGGCGGCGACCUGGACAAGCACUGACACUGAACUACGAAAGCGUGGGUAGCAAACAGG